UGGGGAAUUUUGCGCAAUGGGGGAAACCCUGACGCAGCAACGCCGCGUGAGUGUUGAAGGCCUUCGGGUCGUAAAGCUCUGUCAGAGGGAAAGAAGUGUAGUAGGGAUAAUAUUCCUAUUACUUGACGGUACCCUCAAAGGAAGCACCGGCUAACUCCGUGCCAGCAGCCGCGGUAAUACGGAGGGUGCAAGCGUUGUUCGGAUUUAUUGGGCGUAAAGCGCGUGUAGGCGGUUUUUUAAGUCUGAUGUGAAGCCCCGGGCUCAACCUGGGAAGUGCAUUGGAAACUGGGAGACUUGAAUACGGGAGAGGGUAGUGGAAUUCCUGGUGUAGGAGUGAAAUCCGUAGAUAUCAGGAGGAACACCGGUGGCGAAGGCGGCUACCUGGACCGAUAUUGACGCUGAGACGCGAAAGCGUGGGGAGCAAACAGGAUUAGAUACCCUGGUAGUCCACGCCGUAAACGAUGAGUACUAGGUGUCGCGGGUAUUGACCCCUGCGGUGCCGCAGCUAACGCAUUAAGUA
rnacentral:rRNA from 1 species